GACGAACGCUGGCGGCGUGCUUAACACAUGCAAGUCGAACGGAAAGGCCCUGCUUGCCGGGUACUCGAGUGGCGAACGGGUGAGUAACACGUGGGUGAUCUGCCCUGCACUUCGGGAUAAGCCUGGGAAACUGGGUCUAAUACCGGAUAGGAGCCAUUUUUAGUGUGAUGGUUGGAAAGUUUUUUCGGUGUAGGAUGAGCUCGCGGCCUAUCAGCUUGUUGGUGGGGUAAUGGCCUACCAAGGCGGCGACGGGUAGCCGGCCUGAGAGGGUGGACGGCCACAUUGGGACUGAGAUACGGCCCAGACGCCUACGGGAGGCAGCAGUGGGGAAUAUUGCACAAUGGGCGCAAGCCUGAUGCAGCGACGCCGCGUGGGGGAUGACGGCCUUCGGGUUGUAAACGCCUUUCGCUAGGGACGAAGCUUUUUGUGACGGUACCUAGAGAAGAAGCACCGGCUAACUACGUG
rnacentral:rRNA from 1 species